GAGGAACCUGAUCCUCGGUAGCGAAGGGCUGGAGGCAAACACCGAGCUCCCCCUGAGCCGCCUGGGAGCAGGGAGGGUUCUGCUACCCUGAGGGGCCCUCCCCGCGGGGCAGAGGGUGGAAGUCACAGCAUCUACUGAAUCUGUGCUUGCCUUGAGGAAAAACGGCAUGGCACAGGAAUGUGGACGCUUUCAACCAGAGGAUUCUGUACGACAGUGUCGGCACACACUCAUCCUCGUCUACGGCCAAAUGUUGGUUUCUCAUUUCUAGAAGAUGAAAGAUGUGAUGACUCAGGAAAAACUUGCUGCUCGAGAUGUGAGUCUUCAGAUGUUCCUGCCGCCAUAUCUGACAGCUGCUGCCAAGAUUCCCUGGUGGGAUGGACUCUUAUACCUCGACAACCAGAAGCCCAAGUAAACUCUUCUAUAAAUUGAAUGACUCAUGCUUAAAAAAAAAAC
ensembl:processed_transcript 2210408F21Rik RIKEN cDNA 2210408F21 gene